GACGAACGCUGGCGGCGUGCUUAACACAUGCAAGUCGAACGGACAGGCCCUGCUUUUGUGUGUUGCUCGAGUGGCGAACGGGUGAGUAACACGUGAGUAACCUCCCCUUGACUUUGGGAUAACUCUAGGAAACUGGGGCUAAUAUCGGAUAUGAUCUUCUGCUGCAUGGUUGUGGUUGGAAAGUUUCGGCCGUUGGGGCUGUACUCGCUGCUUAUUAGCUUGUUUGUGUAGUAGUUGCUUACCAAGCUUUUGACGGGUAGCCGACCUGAGAGUGUGACCGGGCGCAGUGGGACUGAGAUACGGAGCAGGAUGCUAUGGGAAGCAGUGGGCGGGAAUAUUGCACAAUGACCGGGAGUCAGAGGCAGCAGCGCCGCGAGCGGGAAGACGGCCUUCGGGUUAUAAACAGCUUUGGCAUGUGACGAAGCGAGAGUGACGGUACUGGGUAAGAAAGCACCGGCUAACUACGUG
rnacentral:rRNA from 1 species